GGGGGGUGCAGGGAGCUGUUUUCUGAUGAGAAGGAGGAGUAAGAGAGAGGGUAGCUGUGGGGGUAUCGGGGUGUGGGGAUAAUUCCAUUGUUGCCCCAGAGGAUUGCACAUUAGGACUGGUAAAUUCUCAAAUCGGACACUGCAUUAGGACAUAGAUCAGCUGUUAUUUUUCCAGUCUCGGGAGAAACCUUGAGGAAUCUCAUUCCUCCAACUGUAUGGAAUUAUCUGCCAAUGUUGUCCUUUCCACUCAAAGUACUCUGAUUGAAGCAGUGGGCAGGGGCUUCAGGAACAACAAAAAUCUCUUUAAAGCUAUUGUUUCUUUGAAUGUUUGGUGUACCUUUUGGUUCGGCAACAAAAUAACUUAAUAAAUGAAGGGUGAGUAGCAUUGUUACUAUAGCAAUCCCCAUAGUAACAUCAAAAUGCCACGCACAUUCGUUCUGGAAACACUCGGGAAGCCUCCGCCCAGCCCUCCCCAUGUUCCAGGUUCAGCAUCCCAGAUUUCAGCUCUGACGGCUGGAGAUUUUAGGAUAUUAAAUUAAAUCCAUUUUAUUUCCAUGCCGAAGAGUUAUUAGACUCACGAAAUACCAAGAAAUCUUAUCCACUUAUGUCCUUUGCAGAAAAGUCAGAAGUGAAUUUUCUAUGAGCUUGACAGUAGGUACAGACUGCUUGCGCUUGAGCUUCCUGUUGUAGGUCUGCCCUUAAAAUGACAACAACAAUAAUCCCAGUCAAGGCAUGAAGUGUUCUUUGUUGAUUUCAAUCGUCUUACAUAACUUACAUGGGGGCAGGACCAGGGGAUGAAACGUCUUCGGAAUGCAGCGUUGUGGGAGCACACAUGUUUUUAAUCUCCUAUUUUUCAGAAGAUAGCCAGAAGGAAUCCCCAAGAGGUCACUUGGAGAAGCCUUUUGCCACCUGGCUGGACCACUCUCCCUUUCCAUUUUCCCUUUGCCUAUAAAGGACAUGAAAUACUUCAAAACUGAAAUUACCAAAACUGACACAUCAAGCGGCUGUGGCAUGUUGAUUUUAAGAAAGUCUGUGAGACACAGUUGGCUACAGCUCCUAAGACCCAUCUAUGGACAAUGGGCUUCCUGCUGAAACAUCCUCACCGUGGGCUUCACAGAGUCAGACUGUGCAGAUAUUCUCCUUCUUUCUUCCACAAAGAAGAAAGUGAACAAAGUGUGCCUAGGUCCUAACACUCUAUCCAUAAAGGGCUCAUGUGAGUAGAAGGUCAGCCUCUGAGGAAAUAGAUAAGGAACGUAAUUCUGAUGGUCUGUUCCAUUUGCCUUGCCCCGACCCAAGUGAUGACCACAGUGACGGCGUACAGGAAGCUAAGAAGAAACCAAAAUAACAGAAACAUGUGGAGCAAUGGCCAGCCACCAAACUGGGAUUUCCCUGGUCCAGUGAGAUGUUCUGUGAAAUCUUCCUUGAACCAAUAAAUUUAGGAAACACUAUGUGCA
rnacentral:lncRNA from 1 species